rnacentral:rRNA from 1 species
CCUACGGGGGGCAGCAGUGAGGUAUAUUGGUCAAUGGACGAGAGUCUGAACCAGCCAAGUAGCGUGAAGGAUGACUGCCCUAUGGGUUGUAAACUUCUUUUAUAUGGGAAUAAAAUGUUCCACGUGUGGGAUUUUGUAUGUACCAUAUGAAUAAGGAUCGGCUAACUCCGUGCCAGCAGCCGCGGUAAUACGGAGGAUCCGAGCGUUAUCCGGAUUUAUUGGGUUUAAAGGGAGCGUAGGUGGAUUGUUAAGUCAGUUGUGAAAGUUUGCGGCUCAACCGUAAAAUUGCAGUUGAAACUGGCAGUCUUGAGUACAGUAGAGGUGGGCGGAAUUCGUGGUGUAGCGGUGAAAUGCUUAGAUAUCACGAAGAACUCCGAUUGCGAAGGCAGUUCACUGGACUGCAACUGACACUGAGGCUCGAAAGUGUGGGUAUCAAACAGGAUUAGAUACCCCAGUAGUC